rnacentral:misc_RNA from 1 species
GAUGAAGAACGCAGCGAAAUGCGAUAAGUAAUGUGAAUUGCAGAAUUCAGUGAAUCAUCGAAUCUUUGAACGCACAUUGCGCCCCCUGGUAUUCCGGGGGGCAUGCCUGUUCGAGCGUCAUUUCACCACUCAAGCCUCGCUUGGUAUUGGGCAACGCGGUCCGCCGCGUGCCUCAAAUCGACCGGCUGGGUCUUCUGUCCCCUAAGCGUUGUGGAAACUUUCGCUAAAGGGUGUUCGGGAGGCUACGCCGUAAAACAACCCCAUUUCUAAGGUUGACCUCGGAUCAGGUAUGGAUACCCGCUGAACUUAAGCAUAUCAAUAAGCGGAGGA